CUUAAUAUGAACCUGUGUUUAGAAAAUAAAGUUAAAAAAUGAGAUCUAUUGGAAUAUCUUAUUGUUAUUCAGAAUAUAUCAAAUAUGGUUUGUUAGAAUUCUUCUUUCUUUGAUAUUUCCUUUCUUUUUCAGAAAACCUUCUUUCAUAUAUUGAUUACUACAUAUCCUUUGGGUGGUCCUGACCUCCCCUUCAAUCCCAAAAAAAAGGAGUACCACAUGUUAUAAACUUCUGUAGAAUAUCUAGUGGACAUGAAUUUCAACCUUGUCAUCAUUGUCCUUGGCGUAUCUUGAUUAAUUCUGUUCAGACUUUGUCGAUUACCUUGGGAAACUAGAUGUCCUACAGAAUAUUUGUAAUCACUUUGUUAUGGCAUUUUAUACUUGAAAGAGCUGAAAGGAAAAAGUUUGGGAAAAAACGGUUCCUCUUCCUCUAUGUCAUUGUUAACUAACAUUCUAAAUUAUGAAUUCAUGCUGGUUCCUCAAAACAUUUGAAAGUUUUGAUUUCUAAGGGUGACUAUUUUCCUUCUUGAUAAAAGUGGCACUUUAAUCAUCGUUUUCCUGUCUUAAUCAAUGAAAAAUACCUGGGCACGUCCAUGAUGAGCAUGGAAUUCAACAGGAACAACUGAUAUUCCCCUAUGAUUUCAUUUUUGUGAAGGGGGUUUUCUAACAGGUGCUUGGUAAAAUUAAAAACAGGAAGCUGAAAGAAUCAAGGUGUUAAUAGUGGUAGUAGAAGCCAGAUAAAUCACCUGUGUUUAUUUAUGCCGAGGACCACCUACUGGUUUUUAAUGCUUAACUGCAACAAUGUCAGAAUAUCAAGGCUAUAAUGCAAGAAUUUAAGAGUGUCUGGACAAGACAAGUUGAUGUGGAUUCUCUUCAACACUUCACCAUUGACUCUUAAAGAUAAUUAGACAUUUAUUAAUGUCAUAAAAUUGAAGGAAUAUAUAAUUGUGCUGAAGUCCCUGAAGCAAGUGAGAGGCUAAGAGCCGGUGGCUUCUAUGCCCCUCGGAAGCAGGGUUCUGAAGAAUAUUAGGCUAUUAGCAGAAUGGAAAGCAUGGAGAACUUUUAGAGGACGCUAGAAUAAGCAUCUAUUCCUCAGAUACUUCUAAUAUAUGCAGUGGAAGCAACCCAGGUUGCAAGGAAAGUCAGAAAUGAUGUAGAGAAGACACUGAAAGAUUUUUUUGUGGAAUAGAGGUGGGUGCAACAGCCAAUCUUAGCUGGGAUAAGCUAAGUGAUCCUAAAGAUAUGGACAGUUUAGGAAUUAUCUACCUCUCUAAAUUUUAAGUGGCAUUUUCCUAAAGAUGUAGUAUAUAUUCUAAAUUAUAAGGAAAAUUUCUAGACUUGUAUAACUAGAACUAAAUGUAAAUUGAAUGAUGUAAUUCUGGUAGGAAAUACAAAGAGGCUCUGUUCUGUUAUUUGGAAGAGCUCGUGAAGCUGGUGGCUUGGAAAAUCUACCUUUAACAUGGUGUCCAUGCUUGGAGGGAAAGGAUCAACACUAAAAUAAUACAUGGAUUUUGGAUUAAUGCUGCAAGCAGGUAUAAUUGAGAUUGGAUUUGGAGAAUGUCCUUUAGGUCCCUAGAUAGAGGAAUUUGUAGUCAAAUGCUGAUAAAAGGAAAAACUUGGAGAGAGAUGAUUCAGAAAAUCUAACAAUCCAGGACCUGACCCAAAAAUACAAGCCGGAAGGUAUUAUUUAGCUUUCUUGAUUCUGUAUGAGUAAGUAAGAUCUACCCAGCGAAUAACCAAUGUGGGACUAAACACACGCCCACACAGGUCCUCACAAAAAAUGUCUAAACCGAACCGGCUGAAGUUAAACACUAUUGGUUGUACAUGUUUAAGAUGAAGGAGCUGGUUCUGUGGCUGUAUUGAGAGAUGAUAUGGUAAGAUUUUUACCGGCUUUAGCUGACUAGUGCCAAGCCAUAGGUAUUGGAGUUGUCGAGCCUGUUGUUAUGAGAGAUGAAAAUUUGUUUAUUAUCACCAAAGUGGAUUCAGAUAUUUUAGCUGAAAUGUGAUCAAUAUGCAUUGUUAACUACUUGCAAGGGAGGAUCUCUGGCUGACUCGUAUUAUUUUGCCUGAAAGAGGCCUGCAGCCUUCUUAGUGGGUUUUGGGAGAAUGAAAGCAACUGCCGAUUUCACGGCAGGAUGGGCGACUAUAAGCAAAAGUUUCUUUUCCUUUUCUUUUUGUCUACUCUACAGGGUUAUUAG